rnacentral:tRNA from 1 species
CCUCCAGUAGCUCAGCGGAAAGAGCAAAGAGAUACAUACUCUUAGUCGCCGGUUCGACUCCAGCUUGGAGGU